rnacentral:rRNA from 1 species
AUUGAACGCUGGCGGCAGGCCUAACACAUGCAAGUCGAGCGGAUGAAGGGAGCUUGCUCCUGGAUUCAGCGGCGGACGGGUGAGUAAUGCCUAGGAAUCUGCCUGGUAGUGGGGGAUAACGUCCGGAAACGGGCGCUAAUACCGCAUACGUCCUGAGGGAGAAAGUGGGGGAUCUUCGGACCUCACGCUAUCAGAUGAGCCUAGGUCGGAUUAGCUAGUUGGUGGGGUAAAGGCCUACCAAGGCGACGAUCCGUAACUGGUCUGAGAGGAUGAUCAGUCACACUGGAACUGAGACACGGUCCAGACUCCUACGGGAGGCAGCAGUAGGGAAUAUUGGACAAUGGGCGAAGGCCUGAUCCAGCCAUGCCGCGUGUGUGAAGAAGGUCUUCGGAUUGUAAAGCACUUUAAGUUGGGAGGAAGGGCAGUAAGUUAAUACCUUGCUGUUUUGACGUUACCAACAGAAUAAGCACCGGCUAACUUCGUG